GCGAAGCUGCGUAAGCGAUAGUAGCGGUUAUCCUUUCUUAUGGGCUUGCCAGCCCAUAAGAAAGAUAAUAGCGGAUAGCGCGGUCUCCC
rnacentral:sRNA from 1 species